AAUCAACGCUGGCGGCGUGCCUCAGACAUGCAAGUCGAACGAUUAAGACUCUCUUCGGAGAGUGCAUAAAGUGGCGCACGGGUGAGUAACACGUAAGUAAUCUACCCUCGAGUGGGGAAUAACGUCCGGAAACGGACGCUAAUACCGCAUAAUGCAGCGGCACCGCAAGGUGACAGUUGUUAAAGAUUUAUCGCUUGAGGAGGAGCUUGCGGCAGAUUAGCUAGUUGGUAAGGUAAUGGCUUACCAAGGCUACGAUCUGUAACCGGUCUAAGAGGACGGUCGGUCACACUGACACUGAAUAACGGGUCAGACUCCUACGGGAGGCAGCAGUCGGGAAUUUUGGGCAAUGGGCGAAAGACCUGACCCAGCAACGCCGCGUGAAGGAUGAAGUAUUUCGGUAU
rnacentral:rRNA from 1 species